UCUCUAGUCAACUAGGUUGGGUUUUCCUUCACAUAGAGCCUUUAAUUUUUCAUGGGCUUUAGUCACAUUCAUUUCGAUAUUUUAUCAACCUGGUCUCUGUUUAAGCCUUUAGUUAGCGAACCCGCAAUAUUAUCUUUUGAUUUUACAAAAUCAAUAGAGAUAACUCUGUUUGAGAUCAGUUGUCUAACAGUAUUGUGUCGACGACACAUAUGUCUCAACUUAC
rnacentral:lncRNA from 1 species